CACUUACCUUUCUGCAGCGAUCUCUCCGCCCCAAUCCGCUUCUCAGCUCCGAAUGUUCAUGCGUGGCAAGAGACGCGCGUGCAUUCAAACCGCCCAUAGGAAAGCAUUACUCAAUGCUUUCCUAUGGAUGUUCACUUUGAUUUUCACAGUGAGAAUCAUGGAAGCUCCGCUAGCGGCUGUCAAUGAGACAGCCACUAGAGGCUGGAUUAACC